rnacentral:antisense_RNA from 1 species
CUUUUGCCUCUUCUGGAUUUCAGGUAACAAAGCACCACAUUAGACACUGAAGAUAGAAAUUUGCUUAAGAUAUGGUCUCAGCAUUCAACAGGCUGGUGUUCUGGUUGAGAAGCAAUACAUGGAUCUUUCUUUCUCCUAGCCCUGGAGACUGACAAAGUCUCACUCUGUUGUCCAGGCUGGAGUGCAGUGGCGCGAUCUUGGCUCACUGCAACCUCUGCCUCCCAGGUUCAAGCGAUUCUCCUGCCUCAGCCUCCCAAGUAGCUGGGACUACAGACUUCCUCUGAUGCACAAACCUGGGAUGUGCUGUGAAAAUCAGCUACCUGGGCUUCCCACCUGUGGAUGCUCACUGACCUGGGGCCACACCAGCUGAUUUCAGGACUUCCUCAGAGAAAACACCCAGGCAAGACACCAGCAACAGAGCUACCCUGAUGAUUAUUAAAUUAGCUCUACGUGGAGAUGC